UCUUGCAGAUGAAGGUUUCUCAGGGCCAGGCUGCUAACUAGUCCUAGCUAGUGCUAGGCUGUGAGCUGGCAUGCACUCUGUGCCUACCCAGUGGCUUCUGGAGUGGGUUUGAGGCACCCACCAGUGAGCUUCAGUGUUGUCCUCCUAGGAACUCGUUCCUGUGAGAGCAGAACCUCUUCUAGAGCAGAAGGUGGAUCCUAAAACAGACAAGCAGGAAAGGGCUGCUUGAAAAAAAAGAUGUGAAAACUGGAAAAGGUUAGCCAAGAGUUCAUUCUUGUUGCAGCUUUUAUUACCCUUGUGAGGUUCUUGGAUAAAGCAAGCCAGAGGCCUCAGGUGGAGCUCUCCUUGGAGGAGAGUGAGUGGAAAGCUCUGCUUCUCAAGAGUGGUCCCUGUACAAGCAGCAAGAGCACGUGAUUGACUGGGACGCCAUCAGGGCUAUGCUGGAAGCCCAGCAGGAGGCUCUACCGGAGCUGCCCCUCAGUCUCCCGAGUUCCCCACUGAGGCUAUCAGGUGAGACCACAGCAUGUUCCCCUUUGAGAGAGACGGUCCAUAUUAUGCACUACAGGUCUCUAACUACCAGCCCCCUAAAGGCAGGUACAAUGACAUCACCAAGGUGUACACACAGGUAGAGCUCAAGAGAGAUACUUGCUGGCAGCUGGC